UUCAAAACCUCGAAACGUCAAAAACCGUCACAACUACUCUCAAACGACGUCGCCAGCGAAGGAAAUUCGCACCGAUUUGGAAGCGAUAGCGAGCUUACAAAAACUGGUUUUUGGCCUGCAAAUGGAGUAUUUUAACGUCCCUCCAAUAUUCUGUAGCGUAUACUCUUGUGAUUACAUACUGAAUAUGGAAUUAGCCGAAAAUCCCCCAAAAUACACUGGCUAAGCUCGUGGUGAACCGGGUGGACCUAACAUACGAAAAUCCCAUUAUUGAAUUACCCACCGUACUACCCCUGUUCCGCUGGGCAUGAACCUUCCUUCUCCCGGUGGCAAAUAUGCGCCGAACCUAAACCCAACCGCCACACAGUCAGCAGCAACAUCAUGGAAAAGCAAAAUCCUUCUCGCGUCGAACCUUCUGUAUCCUUUUAACUGGUGCUGAUUCUCCCUUCCCGCUUCUCCCUCAGCCAGUGCAAAUUGUUGCGGUUGUUUGAAGAAAAGAAAAGCGCCGCGGCGUUGGGGACGAGAAAGAACCGAAAAAAAGGAAUCCACACAGACACAAAUGGAGACUCCAGUGAAUAAAAUGCAACAUUCAAAAACCAAUCUACAGAAUGUGCCCGGAGGAUGCCCGGGCAACCUCGUGCGAACCUCUGUCGUCCCCUCAAUCCCGGCGGUGGCUUUCCCCGGGAUUUGCCGUGCCUCGGAGUUCGGCUCUGUUUCUCGGGUCAGCAUCAUCAAGCCCUUAAUUAUUAAAAUUAAAUUUAAUGAAAGGAAUCAUUUCUAUUUGAAUAUUUCCAGCAUUGGAGCUGGAGAGCCGUUUUGGUACGGGAUCCUUGGAACCUCUUUACCCAGCGCGUUUUGCUAUUCAUUCGCAUUUUGGAUGGAUUUGAAUUGCAAAGAAGAAACAAUAACCGAAUCUGAGGAUUUUGCAGCGA